AGUGAACGCUGGCGGCAGGCCUAAUACAUGCAAGUCGAACGGCAGCACAGCAGAGCUUGCUCUGUGGGUGGCGAGUGGCGGACGGGUGAGGAAUACAUGGGAAUCUGCCCAGUCGUGGGGAUAACGUAGGGAAACUUACGCUAAUACCGCAUGCGCCCUUCGGGGAAAGCCGGGGACCUUCGGGCCUGGCGCGAUUGGAUGAGCCCAUGUCGGAUUAGCUAGUUGGCGGGGUAAUGGCCCACCAAGGCGACGAUCCGUAGCUGGUCUGAGAGGAUGAUCAGCCACACUGGAACUGAGACACGGUCCAGACUCCUACGGGAGGCAGCAGUAGGGAAUAUUGGACAAUGGGCGCAAGCCUGAUCCAGCCAUGCCGCGUGAGUGAAGAAGGCCCUCGGGUUGUAAAGCUCUUUUGUCCGGAAAGAAAAGCGCCGGGUUAAUACCCUGGUGUCCUGACGGUACCGGAAGAAUAAGCACCGGCUAACUUCGUGCCAGCAGCCGCGGUAAU
rnacentral:rRNA from 1 species